CAGGGCGCUAAAGGUCCUCCUGGAACCACCGCCAUGAGUGAGUGCCAGAUGAUCACCUACAUCAAAGACAACUGUGCAUGUUGCCAAGGUAACUAUAUGUCUCCGUCAGUCACUCAGAACUUGGAGGUAAGUACAGUGCAGAAGUCCAGCGGUGAGAUUUAUCAUCAUCAUCAUCAAGAAAACAUCAAUUCACCUUUUAAACGUUUGUAGUUUCACUUUGC